UCGUGGAUCGAUGAAGACCGCAGCUAAAUGCGCGUCAUAAUGUGAACUGCAGGACACAUGAACAUUGAUAAGUUGAACGCAUAUGGCGCAUCGGACGUUUAAUCCCGACCGAUGCACACAUUCUUGAGU
rnacentral:rRNA from 1 species